rnacentral:rRNA from 1 species
AUUGAACGCUGGCGGCAUGCCUUACACAUGCAAGUCGAACGGUAACAGGUCUUCGGAUGCUGACGAGUGGCGAACGGGUGAGUAAUACAUCGGAACGUGCCCGAUCGUGGGGGAUAACGGAGCGAAAGCUUUGCUAAUACCGCAUACGAUCUACGGAUGAAAGCAGGGGACCGCAAGGCCUUGCGCGGACGGAGCGGCCGAUGGCAGAUUAGGUAGUUGGUGGGAUAAAAGCUUACCAAGCCGACGAUCUGUAGCUGGUCUGAGAGGACGACCAGCCACACUGGGACUGAGACACGGCCCAGACUCCUACGGGAGGCAGCAGUGGGGAAUUUUGGACAAUGGGCGCAAGCCUGAUCCAGCCAUGCCGCGUGCAGGAUGAAGGCCUUCGGUUGUAAACUGCUUUGUACGGAACGAAAGACUCUUCUAAUAAGAAGGGUCCAUGACGGUACCGUAAGAAUAAGACACCGGCUAACUACGUGCCAGCAGCCGAC